CGGGUGAGUAACACGUGGAUAACCUACCUAUAAGACUGGGAUAACUUCGGGAAACCGGAGCUAAUACCGGAUAAUAUUUUGAACCGCAUGGUUCAAAAGUGAAAGACGGUCUUGCUGUCACUUAUAGAUGGAUCCGCGCUGCAUUAGCUAGUUGGUAAGGUAACGGCUUACCAAGGCAACGAUGCAUAGCCGACCUGAGAGGGUGAUCGGUCACACUGGAACUGAGACACGGUCCAG
rnacentral:rRNA from 1 species